GUAGUCGGAUCUGACGCUGUCCUGUCUGUCGAAAGUACCUCUGGAAUAUGCAACACAUUCAACUGUGAAUACCGCGACGCGGUGCCAUGAAAGCAGUAGAGAGCUGUAAUUUCUGACGUUAUGACGAUUGCUUUUAAAUUAUUUUACGUACAGAGCGUGCGCCUCUAUUUAUAUGAUGAGAUAUAAAUAAAUGUGAUUGAAUUAUAUCAAACUGGAUCUUAUCUUAUCGCACGAUCAAGACCAGUCGAGAUGUGCGAUAAAAGCAGGAAGGGAACGCAGAGCACAAUGAAAGUAUGGAAGACAAUGCGAACAAUAUAGGGCAACAAAAGAUGGUAGCGAAUGAACGUCAACUAUAAGAAAAUAAUACUAAAGUACAGAUAGAGAGAGACACAGUCAUUGCUGCUUGGGGACGUGUAACUAAAAGUAAAACCCGAUCAAAGGAUCUAUCUUUCGAAUUCGUGUUGAGAUUUUUUCGAGGAUUCCACGAACGAAGAUCGUCGAUUCGACAACGUGGACUGCGCGUGAGGGAUCUAUCUCCCUCACCUUUG